rnacentral:miRNA from 2 species
UGGGUCUUUGCGGGCAAGAUGA